rnacentral:rRNA from 1 species
UAUUGGACAAUGGGCGAAAGCCUGAUCCAGCAAUACCGCGUGUGUGAAGAAGGCCUUAGGGUUGUAAAGCACUUUCAAUUGGGAGGAAAACCUGCCGGUCAAUACCCGGUAGCUUGACAUUACCUUUAGAAGAAGCACCGGCUAACUCCGUGCCAGCAGCCGCGGUAAUACGGAGGGUGCGAGCGUUAAUCGGAAUUACUGGGCGUAAAGCGUGCGUAGGCGGUUCGUUAAGUCAGAUGUGAAAGCCCUGGGCUCAACCUGGGAACUGCAUUUGAAACUGGCGGACUAGAGUUUAGUAGAGGGGAGUGGAAUUUCAGGUGUAGCGGUGAAAUGCGUAGAUAUCUGAAGGAACACCAGUGGCGAAGGCGACUCCCUGGACUAGAACUGACGCUGAGGACGAAA